rnacentral:RNase_P_RNA from 1 species
UGAGUAAGCUGGAUAGUCGCGGAUGCCUUUGGCAGACGAGGAAAGUCCGAGCUCCGUAGGGCGAGGGUGCUGGGUAACCCCCAGUGGAGGCGACUCUAAGGAUAGUGCAACAGAGAGAUACCGCCAGAAGGUUUCGGCCUUUUGGUAAGGGUGGAAAGGUGAGGUAAGAGCUCACCAGCGGUUAGGUGACUAACCGGCUAUGUAAACCCCAUCCGGAGCAAGACCAAGUAGGGACUCAAAAAGGGGGCUGCCCGUCCCUGUCCCGGAGGUAGGUCGCUUGAGCCUUAUGGUAACAUAAGGCCUAGAUAGAUGACUAUUCAAGACAGAACUCGGCUUAUAGGCUUACUCACUCU